rnacentral:rRNA from 1 species
UACGUAGGGUGCAAGCGUUGUCCGGAAUCACUGGGCGUAAAGGGCGCGUAGGCGGCUCAUGAAGGCUGUGGUGAAAGUCCGGGGCUCAACCUCGGAUCGGCCGUGGCGACUCGUGGGCUGGAGCACUGUAGAGGCGGGUGGAAUUCCGGGUGUAGCGGUGGAAUGCGCAGAUAUCAGGAGGAACACCGAUGGCGAAGGCAGAUCUCUGGGCCGUAACUGACGCUGAGGAGCGAAAGCGUGGGGAGCGAACAGG